AACGAACGCUGGCGGCGCGCCUAAUACAUGCAAGUCGAGCGAGAAGGUGUAGCAAUACACUUGUAAAGCGGCGAACGGGUGAGGAAUGCAUGGGUAACCUACCCUCGAGUGGGGAAUAACUAGCCGAAAGGUUAGCUAAUACCGCAUACGUUUCCGGAACUUCGGUUUCGGAAAGAAAGCAAUACCGUGGGUAUUGCGCUCCUGGAUGGGCUCAUGUCCUAUCAGCUUGUUGGUGAGGUAACGGCUCACCAAGGCUUCGACGGGUAGGCUGGUCUGAGAGGAC
rnacentral:rRNA from 1 species